GACGAACGCUGGCGGCGUGCCUAAUACAUGCAAGUCGAGCGGACCGGCUUGGGGCUUGCCUUGAUUCGGUCAGCGGCGGACGGGUGAGUAACACGUGGGCAACCUGCCCGCAAGACCGGGAUAACUCCGGGAAACCGGAGCUAAUACCGGAUAACACCGAAGACCGCAUGGUCUUCGGUUGAAAGGCGGCCUUUGGGCUGUCACUUGCGGAUGGGCCCGCGGCGCAUUAGCUAGUUGGUGAGGUAACGGCUCACCAAGGCGACGAUGCGUAGCCGGCCUGAGAGGGUGACCGGCCAAACUGGGACUGAGACACGGCCCAGACUCCUACGGGAGGCAGCAGUAGGGAAUCUUCCGCAAUGGGCGAAAGCCUGACGGAGCGACGCCGCGUGAGCGAAGAAGGCCUUCGGGUCGUAAAGCUCUGUUGUGAGGGACGAAGGAGCGUCGUUCGAAGAGGGCGGCGCGGUGACGGUACCUCACGAGAAAGCCCCGGCUAACUACGUG
rnacentral:rRNA from 1 species